rnacentral:rRNA from 1 species
GGCUCAGGAUGAACGCUAGCUACAGGCUUAACACAUGCAAGUCGAGGGGCAGCGGGAUUGAAGCUUGCUUCAAUUGCCGGCGACCGGCGCACGGGUGAGUAACGCGUAUCCAACCUUCCGUACACUCAGGGAUAGCCUUUCGAAAGAAAGAUUAAUACCUGAUGGUAUGAUGAGAUCGCAUGGUAUCAUCAUUAAAGAUUUAUCGGUGUACGAUGGGGAUGCGUUCCAUUAGGUAGUAGGCGGGGUAACGGCCCACCUAGCCUACGAUGGAUAGGGGUUCUGAGAGGAAGGUCCCCCACAUUGGAACUGAGACACGGUCCAAACUCCUACGGGAGGCAGCAGUGAGGAAUAUUGGUCAAUGGACGAGAGUCUGAACCAGCCAAGUAGCGUGAAGGAUGAAGGUCCUACGGAUUGUAAACUUCUUUUAUAAGGGAAUAAAACCUCCCACGUGUGGGAGCUUGUAUGUACCUUAUGAAUAAGCAUCGGCUAACUCCGUG